AUUGAACGCUGGCGGCAUGCCUUACACAUGCAAGUCGAACGGUAACAGGUCUUCGGAUGCUGACGAGUGGCGAACGGGUGAGUAAUACAUCGGAACGUGCCUAGUAGUGGGGGAUAACUACUCGAAAGAGUGGCUAAUACCGCAUGAGAUCUACGGAUGAAAGCAGGGGAUCGCAAGACCUUGUGCUACUAGAGCGGCCGAUGGCAGAUUAGGUAGUUGGUGGGAUAAAAGCUUACCAAGCCGACGAUCUGUAGCUGGUCUGAGAGGACGAUCAGCCACACUGGGACUGAGACACGGCCCAGACUCCUACGGGAGGCAGCAGUGGGGAAUUUUGGACAGUGGGCGCAAGCCUGAUCCGGCAAUGCCGCGUGCAGGAUGAAGGCCUUCGGGUUGUAAACUGCUUUUGUACGGAACGAAAAGCCCUGGGUUAAUACCCUGGGGUCAUGACGGUACCGUAAGAAUAAGCACCGGCUAACUACGUGCCAGCCGCCGCUGUAAAAC
rnacentral:rRNA from 1 species